CGUCUUCUUUCUUCUUCUUCUCUUCUCCCUGUUCUUCCUCUUCUUCUGUUUCUUGCGAUUCUCAGAGAUUUGAGACUUGAAUUUCAGUUAUGAUAUCGUGAUGGUUAGGUAGAGAUCAACGCUUGUUUGAGAGUGAUGGUGUUGAUCCAGUUAUCGAAUUCAGGCUUCACAGAAAAGGUGAAAGAGAAAUAGAACUUAGGGUUUAUGAGAGAAGUGAAUCAAAGUACGAAUUAGUCAGGAUUAACUUACGGAAGAAAUGGUUCUGGUUAAAUCGAUGUUAUGAAGUUGUUUUGAUGUUAAUUGAACUUGUAAGAAGACGGGGUUGAUGCUGUUGUAAUUGAAGUUAUAAUUAUUAGGAUGAAUUCGAGUUCAUAAGUGAUUUGAUGGGUUAUCUGGGAUGAAGAUAUGAGUGAGGUGAUGAUGGUGCUGAAGUUGCCAUAGUUUCGGGAGAAGAAAUUGAUAUUACUGUAAGUGAAGUUAGGGUUUCAUAAGGAAAUACUCUUAGAAGAUGUAGAAGAUGGAAUAUACAGCUGUGGUUAGAUGACGAAUCAUGGGUAGUCAUUUAAUUGAAGUUUUGAAGAUGAUUCGGAGAAGAAUUGAAGAAUUAGGGUUCAUGUGUUCUUCCCCAAAUUGAAGUUCGGGUUUGAGUAUAAUUGAUCUGGUAAAUUGGAAAUUCAGAGGAUAGUGAAGCUUGGGUAAGUAUCUAAUUGCUUUAAUUUCGAUAUUUUGAAUUGCGUUGAUUAAAGUAUUUGGUUUAUUUGAUUGAGAAUAGAACCUGGAUUGAGAUAAGUGCAGAAUGGAAUUGUAAUCAUGGUUUAGAGUUGUGGUAGGAAGAUUGUUGAAGUUGCAGGGGAUUUAUAUGUAUGAACUGUGUAUCUGAUUGUUAAGGAAGCAGAAUGGGAUGUGUAAUCAUUUUGAUGUUGUUUGUAAGGCUGAGAUGAUGGAGGCAGAGACGAUGUUUAUGGUUUGGAUUGAAGUCAGCUCAUGGUUUAGUUGAUGCCAGGAAAUUUGUAUGAGCAGUGAAUUGAAUAACAUAUGUAUUUGAGUAGGAAGUAAUGACCUUGCAGACCUGGAAGUGAUAUUGUUACAAUCUGGUGGUGUUGAAGGGAGAUGUAAUUAGGAUUUAAGAUGUAAUAUGCGGAGUUGGAAUAGAUGAAUGUAUUAGGUGAGAUAUGGAUUGGUGCAGUAUGGCUAUGAUGAAGUGGUGUUUAAAUUUGUAUGAGUUGAAGAUGUUUGAGAUACAACUGAAGAUUAGAUGAAUGAGUUAGGAAUUGUAUGUACUAGUGUUGAUAUUGAAAAUGAAAUGACAAUUUUGAUCAUCGUUGGCGUCCGUGGAACUAUAAUGGUGGUUAUGAUAUGAGUUGACAUAAGUAGGGGAGUUGGUAGGUUGCAGGUGUCAGAGAAUUGAGAUGAUGCAAGAAUUAAGUCUUGUUUUAGAAUGGAUAAUGGAGCUGGGGUAUAGAGUUACUUGAAUGAGUGUGUACAUUAGAAUUAGAACUGCGGUGAAGAUAUGGAUAUAUGAUGCAAGAAUUAAGUCUUGUUUUAGAAUGGGUAAUGGAGCUGGGGUGUAGAGUUACUUGAAUGAGUGUGUACAUUAGAAUUAGAACUGCGGUGAAGAUAUGGAUAUACCGGUGGUGGAUUAGUUUGUUGAAAGUAACUGAUACUACUUGUGGUGAUGGAAUUUACUAAUGGUUCAUUUGGGGCUUGCCACUGCUAUUGCAGUUGUAGUUAAUCUGAAGCUGGGGAUGAUUCAGUUUAUUGGAUGUGUUGCUAAAAGCUACAAUUGCAGUUAGUCUGUUAACAACGAUCGUUUCAAAGGAUGAACCAGUGGAUCGUGGAUCUCGAGGUAGGCGUGGCUUGUCAUCAAAAGAGUUUCAGAGACAGAUCACAGUUGCGCAGCGAAAGCUUCAAGUGUUGUUUUCGUUAGUUGGUUAACUUCUAUUAUGUUUAUUAUAUUACAUAGUGUAUCUGUAAGCCAAAUGACUAUUGUGUAUGUAUUAUUUGAGAGGAUCUCUUGUAUAUAUAUGUUUCAGAGCGGGUUAGUUUUGGGUUAA